CUCGUAGGUGGCCAACUAAGUCAGACGUGAAAUCCCUCAGCUUAACUGGGGAACUGCGUCUGAUACUGGAUGGCUUGAGUUUGGGAGAGGGAUGCGGAAUUCCAGGUGUAGCGGUGAAAUGCGUAGAUAUCUGGAGGAACACCGGUGGCGAAGGCGGCAUCCUGGACCAACACUGACACUGAGGAGCGAAAGCCAGGGAGCAAAC
rnacentral:rRNA from 1 species